rnacentral:rRNA from 1 species
AGGUUACUGCUAUCGAGGUUCGACUAAGCCAUGCGAGUCGAAUGCCGCAAGGCAUGGCGCACUGCUCAGUAACACGUGGACAACCUACCCUGAGGACGGGUAUAAACCCGGGAAACUGGGUAUAAUCCCCGAUAGUCCUCGGCUGCUGGAAUGCACCGAGGACGAAAGCUCCGGCGCCUUAGGAUGGGUCUGCGGCCUAUCAGGUAGUAGUGGGUGUAACGUACCUACUAGCCUACGACGGGUACGGGUUGUGAGAGCAAGAGCCCGGAGAUGGAUUCUGAGACACGAAUCCAGGCCCUACGGGGUGCAGCAGGCGCGAAAACUUUACAAUGCUGGCAACAGCGAUAAGGGGACCUCGAGUGCCAGGUUACAAAUCUGGCUGUCGUGAUGCCUAAAAAGCAUUACAUAGCAAGGGCCGGGCAAGACCGGUGCCAGCCGCCGCGGUAACACCGGCGGCUCGAGUGGUAACCGUUAUUAUUGGGUCUAAAGGGUCUGUAGCCGGCCGGAUAAGUCUCUUGGGAAAUCCAGCAGCCUAACUGUUGGGCUUUCAGGAGAUACUAUUCGGCUCGAGGCCGGGAGAGGUGAGAGGUACUUCAGGGGUAGGGGUGAAAUCUUGUAAUCCUUGAAGGACCACCAGUGGCGAAGGCGUCUCACCAGAACGGACCUGACGGCAAGGGACGAAAGCUAGGGGCACGAACCGGAUUAGAUACCCGGGUAGUCCUAGCCGUAAACGAUACUCGCUAGGUGUCGGCCACGGUGCGACCGUUGUCGGUGCCGUAGGGAAGCCGUGAAGCGAGCCACCUGGGAAGUACGGCCGCAAGGCUGAAACUUAAAGGAAUUGGCGGGGGAGCACCACAACGGGUGGAGCUUGCGGUUU